GAUGAACGCUGGCGGCGUGCCUAAUACAUGCAAGUCGAGCGAACAGAUGAGGAGCUUGCUCCUCUGACGUUAGCGGCGGACGGGUGAGUAACACGUGGAUAACCUACCUAUAAGACUGGGAUAACUUCGGGAAACCGGAGCUAAUACCGGAUAAUAUAUUGAACCGCAUGGUUCAAUAGUGAAAGACGGUUUUGCUGUCACUUAUAGAUGGAUCCGCGCUGCAUUAGCUAGUUGGUAAGGUAACGGCUUACCAAGGCAACGAUGCGUAGCCGACCUGAGAGGGUGAUCGGCCACACUGGAACUGAGACACGGUCCAGACUCCUACGGGAGGCAGCAGUAGGGAAUCUUCCGCAAUGGGCGAAAGCCUGACGGAGCAACGCCGCGUGAGUGAUGAAGGUCUUCGGAUCGUAAAACUCUGUUAUUAGGGAAGAACAAAUGUGUAAGUAACUAUGCACGUCUUGACGGUACCUAAUCAGAAAGCCACGGCUAACUACGU
rnacentral:rRNA from 1 species